CCGGGGUACCCCGCACCUCGCACUCCGAGCCCGCCCGGGCGGCGCCGGCUUCUCAGGGGGUCGGGCGGGGACCGUGGCCACCAGGCCUGUUCCGAAGCCCCGCCUCGGUCCUCUGAGGAUCUCGCGGGCUGUGGGCGGAAGCCAGCCGGGCAGAUGGGCGCGCCCCUCUUGUGCAGGCGGGGCCUUCCCACGCCUCGCAGCCGCCUCCGCCGUUUUGGAGCGGGAACCCAGGCGAGCCCGCCCACCCCUCUGAUGGGUUCGACCGAGCUUGAGCCAACGCGGCGGCGCGGGCCCUUGCGGGUGGGGAGGACCCGCCUGGGUCUCACACCUGCCGGCCGGGCGGCCCCGCGUCCUGGCGCCCCGGCAGCAGGCGCGGCGGGACCGGGCGCGAUGCCUGGUUUCUCCGGAGCCGCUACAAAAGGAAACUUUAAAACUUAGAUGUCCAGCGGCGCCAGACCUCCCCGAGCCUGGGCAGAGCCGGCUCCCUCUGCUCCACCCCAGCCGGGCCGGAGGGGGCAGCCCCGGGCAGCCGCAGGAGGACGCGGAGCGGGCCCCAGAGUGCCCACGGCCCACUUUUCCCCGACAGCCUCCGUCUCGGGAGAGGCCCACACGCCCUGCCCGCCACGGGGACAGCGGAGGCCCGGGGCGCCCGCGUCCUCGGAGCUCGCUGCCGGGAAGGCUUUUGCCCUCUGCGGGGUAAGCGGCCUCCUUUGACUGGGUGGCCGUGCGCCCCAGGAGCCGGCUGCACACCCGGGCUCGCUGCUCUUUGCAGCUCGCCUCGGGACACUGCCAAGGUCCGUGACCGUGACCGGAAAGAGGCCCGCAAGGAGUCCGCAGGCAGAGCCCUGAGAGGCCCCGACGUGGAGACCGCCCGCGUGGACGUGGACGACGAGCGGCGGCUGCCGCGGCCUCAGGUUUGGUGGCUCCCUUCCGGCUCCAGUGGAACCUGCCCUUGCAGAGCCCUGAACACACAGCAUGGCUUCAGACAGCCUCACCUUGUACCUGCUACCGGCUCUCCUUGGACUGUCACUCUACCCACCCCUACUCCACGAUUGCGUGAUAAACCCCUAUUCAGCCUUCAGAGCCCGCUUUACAGAGUCCCACUGUGUAGUCCAGGCUGGCCACAGACUAGAGGCGCUCCUCCUGCUUCUCUGAGGCUUCGAUCACAGACCCUGGGGAGAGGUGUGACAUCAACACCAGACAGAAGGCUGGGCUUGAACUCACGAUGUAGCCCAGGGUGGCCUGGAAUUUGCAGUGUCCUCCUGCCUCAGCCUCCAGAGUGCUGGGCUUACAGUCGUGCGCCCCCACGUCCCGCAACUAAGGGAGGUGGAAAGGGUUACUGCCUGCCUGGAAAGGCAGAUUUCACACCUGCUGUCUCGACACAGGGCGGACAGGUGCAUCUGGAGGGGGGAACCUCACACAUCCCUCAGACAAGGGCCUGUCACCCCGCUUCUCCCGAGAGUGACGCUGCUGGGAAAUGUGCAGUCAUAGCCCAGGGAGUCUGGGAGUGAUGGCCACAGUUGCUGUCAUACUGGGAUCUGCACUGCCCAGCUCAGGAGACACAGGUGCCCGGCAGGGAGAGGUUGGAUGCUGGCACUGCACCUCCUGCUGAGGGGAGAACCCCCAAACCCCAGCCCGCCAUGGCCAGACAGCCCAGAUGAGCGGCUAGCGCAGUCCUCAGACAGCCAACUCUGGGUCUGUAGUCAUGGACACGAACCGAGUCAUGAACUACAUCCAAGAGAGACCAUUUCUCGGUGCUGGCACCCUCCUAGGGCUCAGGGGUCUGCACCGCACGCUUCCACACCUGCCUGCGUCUGCUUUUGGAUCCGGCCAAGCUUGGCGGAUUUCACCAGUGACAACCGUGCCCCACACCCUAGUUUUUCCUCACAGACAGUACAGGGCCCACAGGGCUGGGAGACUCAGCCCUGAGUGAAAUAGGUCACACAUGAGAGGGAGGGACGUCGGCAGCACUCACACCCGAGUCCCUUGGAGCUGCGAUGCCCUUCCACCCUUCACUCUGCACACAUCACUUCCGCUUGUCCAGUCAGACCCUGAUGGGCCCUGCCUCCCACCAGCAGGAAGCAGCCUCUGGCUUGCAUGGUGCCAGAGGGUGCCAUCUGCUGUCACUCACAAAACACUGCAAAACCACCAAGGAGGUCAGUUAACGAGUCCAGACCUCCAGCUAAGGAAUGUCGAGUUUCUCUCAAGUCGGUCAUUCCAACACCAGCUUUAUUUUUAAACAACAAAUUUGAGCCCGAUACUGUGUCUGCGAGCCUGCGUCCGAUCUGUUGCAGUCACUCGGGAACUGAGGUCACUGCGUCCGAUCUGUCGCGUCCUUCCCGAGUCUCUGCCUGGACACUGCUUUCCCUGGGCGGCCCAGCCUGGCCCCAGGUCUUGAUGACACGCUCCCCCUGCACGGCACCAUGGAUUGGUUUCUCUUUGUCCAAGUAUAACUUUUAAAGAGCUAAAAACAUGACCCAUAAUAAAAUGGAACAAACACAGGUAAAAUGAUUAUUUUUUACCAUUUCAUCAGUCAAAAAGGAAACCAGCAAAAUGGCAAAACCAGUCUAAGUGGGACUGAGGAGUAGGGGUUUAUAUAUCUCACCAAGAAAUGCAGUUGUUCAAAUCUGCAGAUAAGAUUACUGGAGAAAGAACUGCUACUGUCUCACAGGGUAAUGGACACUAAGCUUCGAGGGCAUCUUUCCAUGGAACACAAAUAGCCUGUGUUGGCACUGAAUAAGAAUCACUUGCACUGCGGUCAGUUUUCCAUAAGUCACACUGGCUUUUACAUGGCUGUAAAAUAUAUGAACCAAGAGUCAACAGCAAGUCCUAUGGAGGGCCGCAGACCAAGAGGCCAGUAAAUCUUUGAGUGGAGCUGCCACUGCACCGGACCACCACUAAAGUGCAUCCCACAAAACUUUCACCUAUUUCCAGGUGAUUGGGCAGUGUGUGGACACUUAUCAAGCUUCUGGAAAUUUGUUCUUAACCUGUUACAUUCUUUAUUAUUAGUUAAUAAUAGUAACAAUUAGCAUGUGUUCAGUACUAACCGUGACCCUCCCAGACUUGGUUAGGCACUUACAUUGCUUCAUGUACUUUAAUACUAACAGGAAGAUUUAGUACUAGCCCAUUUUACAGAUUGAAACUGAAGUUUAGCUGAAUUAUCCUUCCUCAAAUCACAUGACUCAUGAGAGGCAAAGUAGUGAGAGUUCAGAGCUGAAGGGCAGUCCCGAGGUGGAGGAAGAGGUCGCUGCUGUGUGGCUUUGAAGGUGUAGCCUAUCCUAGCCCCUUCCUCUCUCUCUCUCUCUGGCUGUCUUGCUAUUGCUGUCUGCUUCCUGACUACCAUGAGGUGAGCAGUUUUCCUCUUCCUUGCCCUUCCGCCAUGAUGUUUCUACCGUGGAACCAGCUGACCAUGGACUGAAACCUUUGAAACCAUGAGCCCAAACACAUCUUCUCUCCUUUAAGUUGUGUAUGUCAGGUGCUUUGUCCCAGCAACAGCAAGGUGACUAACACCUUAGUGGGUAACCCUGGAUGGAGGGAGAAGGAAGAAGCCCCCACUCUGAUCCCUCCUUCUCUCUGCUCCCCCCUUGACAAAGCGUCUCUGGAAGCAGCUGGUCUCCUCUGUGGUUCUCCCUACUGCUCACUAACUGGCCCUUUUUCUGUGGCCUCAUUUGCUCCGGGAUGAUCCUGACUCCAAACUCCACCUUUGUGCCUUUCUUCCUUCAGCUCUGGGGAUGGUGGCAGCUUCCCACUGAUUCUGUUACCUCAGCUCUUUCACCACCCCGUGAUCGCACUUGUAGCUUGUCUGAUGUGUGGAUCAGCUGCCCUCCCUAUUAAACUCCCUCUCUUCAGUGAUCUGGAACGGCCUCUUAUUUUCCUGAAUAGAUUCUGACUUACUGACCUAAGGGACAGAGAACAACAAUAUUCACACCAACCCGGAUGGUGUGGUGGGCUCGCUUAUCAGCCAAGAAAAUGGCUCCUGUACCAUUGUCAACCGUCGGGUUUCAAGUUAUUCCUUAGCAUGGUUUUAAAGGAUCAUAUGUCAGAGACCUCCAAGUUGCUCAGGACCUAUCGAUACUAUAAAUGUUACAUCAAUAAAGUACCAAGCAUGUCGUAGACAGUAGCUAUAGUUUGUUUUUCCGUACAUUGUGCCUGGCAUUUUGAUCAACCCCUUACAUGCAUGAUCUCUUUUAAUUCUCCUACAAACUGUGGGCUAUUUCUUCUAGUCAAGUUCUUAGAGGUGAAUAAUGGACACCUUUUCUGAAUAGACAGGAAGGAUCUUGGAGCUCAAGAAGUUAGCUAAUGAGUGAACCUAACCUGUUUUAGGCUGAAGAACCACAGGGAAAGAACUAAAGGGAGCCAGGCAGAGCUGAGGCCAUGUCACAUAACUGAUCUGCUGAGGGUGUGGUGGCUGUGGCCAUCAGCCCUGGACCCCAGCGCUGCAGGCCCUGCGAAUCAUCCCUACCUUCCUGUGGGGUUCGGCACCAAACAGAACCUGCCUGGGGCCUGUGCCCAUGCCCAGAUGCCAGGGUCUGGUGAGAAAGGACUUAUCAGCCAAGGCAAUAAACUGUUGGUGGAGUUGCCACCCCAGCCCCACAUUGGUUUCCACAGUGGAGAUCGUGUGAUCACGCUUGGGCCACUGGACCACUGCUCCAGCUUGGGUGUGGCUUAAGCGUGUCCCCAGGGUUUCGUGUAUGGAAGUUUAAUUCCUAUUCUGAGCUACCAAGAGGGUAGAGCCAUAGUCCAACUUCGGUGGGGCCUUUGGGAGGUGAUCAGGAUUAAAGCCAUUAGGGUGGAGUUCCUAAGAGUAAAUCUUCUCUUAUAAGAAGAGAGAGAGAGACCGUCUGGGAAGCACACUUCCUGUCUCUUGCUAUGCAAUGGCAACAUGAAGCCCAUUAUC
rnacentral:lncRNA from 1 species